rnacentral:rRNA from 1 species
UUAAGCGACUAAGCGUACACGGUGGAUGCCCUGGCAGUCAGAGGCGAUGAAGGACGUGCUAAUCUGCGAUAAGCGUCGGUAAGGUGAUAUGAACCGUUAUAACCGGCGAUUUCCGAAUGGGGAAACCCAGUGUGUUUCGACACACUAUCAUUAACUGAAUCCAUAGGUUAAUGAGGCGAACCGGGGGAACUGAAACAUCUAAGUACCCCGAGGAAAAGAAAUCAACCGAGAUUCCCCCAGUAGCGGCGAGCGAACGGGGAGGAGCCCAGAGCCUGAAUCAGUGUGUGUGUUAGUGGAAGCGUCUGGAAAGGCGCGCGAUACAGGGUGACAGCCCCGUACACAAAAAUGCACAUACUGUGAGCUCGAUGAGUAGGGCGGGACACGUGGUAUCCUGUCUGAAUAUGGGGGGACCAUCCUCCAAGGCUAAAUACUCCUGACUGACCGAUAGUGAACCAGUACCGUGAGGGAAAGGCGAAAAGAACCCCGGCGAGGGGAGUGAAAAAGAACCUGAAACCGUGUACGUACAAGCAGUGGGAGCCUCUUUUAUGGGGUGACUGCGUACCUUUUGUAUAAUGGGUCAGCGACUUAUAUUCUGUAGCAAGGUUAACCGAAUAGGGGAGCCGAAGGGAAACCGAGUCUUAACUGGGCGUUAAGUUGCAGGGUAUAGACCCGAAACCCGGUGAUCUAGCCAUGGGCAGGUUGAAGGUUGGGUAACACUAACUGGAGGACCGAACCGACUAAUGUUGAAAAAUUAGCGGAUGACUUGUGGCUGGGGGUGAAAGGCCAAUCAAACCGGGAGAUAGCUGGUUCUCCCCGAAAGCUAUUUAGGUAGCGCCUCGUGAAUUCAUCUCCGGGGGUAGAGCACUGUUUCGGCAAGGGGGUCAUCCCGACUUACCAACCCGAUGCAAACUGCGAAUACCGGAGAAUGUUAUCACGGGAGACACACGGCGGGUGCUAACGUCCGUCGUGAAGAGGGAAACAACCCAGACCGCCAGCUAAGGUCCCAAAGUCAUGGUUAAGUGGGAAACGAUGUGGGAAGGCCCAGACAGCCAGGAUGUUGGCUUAGAAGCAGCCAUCAUUUAAAGAAAGCGUAAUAGCUCACUGGUCGAGUCGGCCUGCGCGGAAGAUGUAACGGGGCUAAACCAUGCACCGAAGCUGCGGCAGCGACNGAAGGUGUGCUGUGAGGCAUGCUGGAGGUAUCAGAAGUGCGAAUGCUGACAUAAGUAACGAUAAAGCGGGUGAAAAGCCCGCUCGCCGGAAGACCAAGGGUUCCUGUCCAACGUUAAUCGGGGCAGGGUGAGUCGACCCCUAAGGCGAGGCCGAAAGGCGUAGUCGAUGGGAAACAGGUUAAUAUUCCUGUACUUGGUGUUACUGCGAAGGGGGGACGGAGAAGGCUAUGUUGGCCGGGCGACGGUUGUCCCGGUUUAAGCGUGUAGGCUGGUUUUCCAGGCAAAUCCGGAAAAUCAAGGCUGAGGCGUGAUGACGAGGCACUACGGUGCUGAAGCAACAAAUGCCCUGCUUCCAGGAAAAGCCUCUAAGCAUCAGGUAACAUCAAAUCGUACCCCAAACCGACACAGGUGGUCAGGUAGAGAAUACCAAGGCGCUUGAGAGAACUCGGGUGAAGGAACUAGGCAAAAUGGUGCCGUAACUUCGGGAGAAGGCACGCUGAUAUGUAGGUGAAGCGACUUGCUCGUGGAGCUGAAAUCAGUCGAAGAUACCAGCUGGCUGCAACUGUUUAUUAAAAACACAGCACUGUGCAAACACGAAAGUGGACGUAUACGGUGUGACGCCUGCCCGGUGCCGGAAGGUUAAUUGAUGGGGUUAGCGGUAACGCGAAGCUCUUGAUCGAAGCCCCGGUAAACGGCGGCCGUAACUAUAACGGUCCUAAGGUAGCGAAAUUCCUUGUCGGGUAAGUUCCGACCUGCACGAAUGGCGUAAUGAUGGCCAGGCUGUCUCCACCCGAGACUCAGUGAAAUUGAACUCGCUGUGAAGAUGCAGUGUACCCGCGGCAAGACGGAAAGACCCCGUGAACCUUUACUAUAGCUUGACACUGAACAUUGAGCCUUGAUGUGUAGGAUAGGUGGGAGGCUUUGAAGUGUGGACGCCAGUCUGCAUGGAGCCGACCUUGAAAUACCACCCUUUAAUGUUUGAUGUUCUAACGUUGGCCCCUGAUCGGGGUUGCGGACAGUGUCUGGUGGGUAGUUUGACUGGGGCGGUCUCCUCCUAAAGAGUAACGGAGGAGCACGAAGGUUGGCUAAUCCUGGUCGGACAUCAGGAGGUUAGUGCAAUGGCAUAAGCCAGCUUGACUGCGAGCGUGACGGCGCGAGCAGGUGCGAAAGCAGGUCAUAGUGAUCCGGUGGUUCUGAAUGGAAGGGCCAUCGCUCAACGGAUAAAAGGUACUCCGGGGAUAACAGGCUGAUACCGCCCAAGAGUUCAUAUCGACGGCGGUGUUUGGCACCUCGAUGUCGGCUCAUCACAUCCUGGGGCUGAAGUAGGUCCCAAGGGUAUGGCUGUUCGCCAUUUAAAGUGGUACGCGAGCUGGGUUUAGAACGUCGUGAGACAGUUCGGUCCCUAUCUGCCGUGGGCGCUGGAGAACUGAGGGGGGCUGCUCCUAGUACGAGAGGACCGGAGUGGACGCAUCACUGGUGUUCGGGUUGUCAUGCCAAUGGCACUGCCCGGUAGCUAAAUGCGGAAGAGAUAAGUGCUGAAAGCAUCUAAGCACGAAACUUGCCCCGAGAUGAGUUCUCCCUGAGACUUUAAGUCUCCUGAAGGAACGUUGAAGACGACGACGUUGAUAGGCCGGGUGUGUAAGCGCAGCGAUGCGUUGAGCUAACCGGUACUAAUGAACCGUGAGGCUUAACCUU